rnacentral:snoRNA from 1 species
AGGCUGUGAUGACAAGAAUAUACGUUUCUCGAUGCUGAGACUUGAUUUGUUCAAGGACCAAAUUUUGAUGAGUUAUGUGCGUGUCUGAGCCGG